CCCCCUAAACCCCCCAAAAUCCCUUCUAUACCCCCCAUUUCCACCAUCAAUCCCCCAUAACAUGCUGUUAUUUAACCCAUCCUUUUCCCCCCCCCCAUAUACAGGUAUUAAGGAGCUGGGAUACGGGUUACCCUAAACGUAGCGCGGGCGAAUCCUUCCUCAUCUGCGGGACUCUUUACGUCACCAAUUCUCACCUGGCUGGAGCUAAAAUCUAUUUCGCUUAUCACACGUCGACUUCGAGUUACGAAUACACGGACAUCCCCUUCCAUAAUCAAUACUCUCAUAUCUCCAUGCUGGACUAUAACCCACGCGAGAGGGUCCUUUAUACCUGGAAUAACGGGCAUCAAGUGCUCUAUAACGUCACCCUAUUUCACGUCGUCGAGACGGAUGGGGAGAUCUGAGCCUUCCUGACCCUCGUUCAUGGUCUGCUCUGUGCUGCUGUGUCGCAUUGGGAGCCUUCAUCCUCCUCUUCCUCACUUAUUGCACAUUGGGGUUCCGUCAUGUCAUGCUUUGAGCCGUAAUGUUCACUAUGGGUGUCUAUGGGGUUCCUAUGGGUCCUAUGGGUUCCUAUGGGUCUCUAUGGGUCCCUAUGGGUUCCUAUGGGUCCCUAUGGGUUCCUAAGGGUCCCUAUGGGUCUUUAUGGGUCCCUAUGGGUCUCUAUGGGGUCCCUAUGGGUGUCUAUGGGUGUCUAUGGGGUCCCUAUGGGUGUCUAUGGGUGUCUAUGGGGUCCCUAUGGGUCUCUAUGAGGUUCCUAUGUCCCUAUGUGUUCCUAUGGGUUCCUAUGGGGUUCCUAUGGGUCCCUAUGUGUUCCUAUGGGUUCCUAUGGGUCUCUAUGGGGUCCCUAUGGGUUCCUAUGGGUCCUUAUGGGUCUCUAUGGGUCCCCAUGGGUCUCUAUGGGGUCCCUAUGGGUUCCUAUGGGUCCUUAUGGGUCUCUGUGGGUCCCCAUGGGUCUCUAUGGGGUCCCUAUGUGUCCCCAUGGGUCUCUAUAGGGUCCCUAUGGGUUCCUAUGGGUCCCUAUGGGGUCCCUAUGUGUCCCUAUGGGUCCCCAUGUGUCCCUAUAGAGGGCCUAUAGGAGCCCUGUAGCCCCCUAUCUGCCUUCAUGCCAUGGUUGGAGCCUUCAUCCUCCUCUUCCUCCAUUGAUGGGUUCCAUCGUGUCAUGCUUUGAGCCGUAAUGUUCACUAUGGGUCUCUCUGGGGUCCCUAUGGGUCCCUAUGGGUUCUUAUGGGUCCCUAUGUGUCCCAAUGGGUCCCUAUGGGUUCCUGUGUUCCAUAUGGGUCCAUAACGUUCCCUAUGGGUGUCUAUGGGGUCCCUAUGGGUCCAUAACGUUCCUUAUGGGUCUCUAUGGGUCCCCAUGGGUCUCUACGGGGUCCCUAUGGGUCUUUAUGGGUCCCUAUGGGUCUCUAUGGGUCCCUGUGGGUCUCUAUGAGGUUCCUAUGGGUCUCUAUGGGGUCCCUAUGUGUCCCUAUGUGACCUUUGGGUUCCUGUGUGUCCCUAUGGG
rnacentral:lncRNA from 1 species